rnacentral:rRNA from 1 species
GAUGAACGCUGGCGGCGUGCCUAAUACAUGCAAGUCGAGCGAACAGACGAGGAGCUUGCUCCUCUGACGUUAGCGGCGGACGGGUGAGUAACACGUGGAUAACCUACCUAUAAGACUGGGAUAACUUCGGGAAACCGGAGCUAAUACCGGAUAAUAUAUUGAACCGCAUGGUUCAAUAGUGAAAGACGGUUUUGCUGUCACUUAUAGAUGGAUCCGCGCCGCAUUAGCUAGUUGGUAAGGUAACGGCUUACCAAGGCGACGAUGCGUAGCCGACCUGAGAGGGUGAUCGGCCACACGGGAACUGAGACACGGUCCAGACUCCUACGGGAGGCAGCAGUAGGGAAUCUUCCGCAAUGGGCGAAAGCCUGACGGAGCAACGCCGCGUGAGUGAUGAAGGUCUUCGGAUCGUAAAACUCUGUUAUUAGGGAAGAACAAAUGUGUAAGUAACUAUGCACGUCUUGACGGUACCGAAUCAGAAAGCCACGGCUAACUACGUG